GGAUCAAUAUGUCGGUCGUGCCUUCGGUACGUACUGGUAUCAUUGGUCUCUCCUUUCUGACGAACCAUGAUGUCAUUUAUUUGGUGUUGUGGGGAAUCAGGACUGUUACUUUGAAAAAAUUAGAGUGUUUAAAGCAGGCUCACGCUUGAAUACAUUAGCAUGGAAUAAUGAAAUAGGACGUUUGAUUCUAUUUUGUUGGUUUCUAGGAUCGACGUA
rnacentral:rRNA from 1 species